rnacentral:lncRNA from 1 species
UAGAGCUGAGCUAAUCAGCAGGUGGUGAAGAAUAAAAAGAGAGAAGGACAUUAGAGAGCAUUAGCAGAGACAAGGUAGGAAUCACAAUGGCACUUUCAGAAUACAGAUUGUUCAGCACACCUAAAUGUUGGGUGACAGCAGAGAUGUUGUCUGAAGAUGGGAUGCUUGGGACUGCAGCAGCCACCUUGUAAUCAUGAGGAGAAAGCCAAGAGCUGCACAGAGAAACAGAUCCAAAAGCCUGACAUUACUGUGAUGUCCACUAUGAGACCACAGGACCAGCUGAAACCCGCCAGAACCAAUAUGACCGACUGGAGCUCGCGCAAGGAUUUGCCGGGCCACGGGGUGAUCUUUUGACGUCACCGUCUGAACUUCCGCCCCAAGUUUCAUACUAACUCCCCCUAAAUUUUCACAUGCCACCCAUGAAGAGGCAACUGCACAUGGGCAAGGGACUUUCCAAACAUCCCCGUUCCCUGGCCAAUCACUAAUCUACCCUGAAACACUUUCCUCCAAAUCCUUCUUUUACAAAUAUGGCUUUCAAGCCAGUACAAGGAAGACAGUUUUGAGCCCAUCUCCUGUCACGUUGCUUGGCCGUUUUGCAAUAAACCUUUCUCUCUACAAAAAUCCCAGGCUUCAUGUUUACCUUUCCAUUGCUCACGGGUAAAUGGACCUGGUUUGGUUCUAUAACAAUCGUUUGGAUGAGAGAUUUGGUAAUGACAGGAAAGGAACUAGACUAAUCAUAAAAAGGAGUGGCAGAGUUGGGACAAUCACUGGAAGUCAGCAAAAAUAUUAGGGGAAAAUCAGUUGAUGUGGGGGGAAACUUAGGCGGAAAUCAGAUGAUAGCCUGCCAU